rnacentral:lncRNA from 1 species
AGAGUCGAGUGAAGGUACACGCGCUCCGUCCGCGGGUCUUAUCACACUACACAAACCCGCUUCUUCGGUUCUUCGGUCUCCAACGCCAGUCCGGGCAUGAGGUGGUUCCUGCUGGUCCUUUGGGGUUUCCAGUCAUGCAGUUGAGAUCGACUCCCUGUUCCAGCAAAAUCAUGCAGACUUAAAAGCUCAUGAAGUAAAAGGAAAGAAAAAAUAUAAAAGAUAUAGAAAAAAAAUAAAAUAAAGUGGACAAAAACCCUCAACCGAAUAUGUGAUACGAUUCCAAAUCUUUCCUAUUUUCCCCUCUUUUUACCCCUCCUCCUUUUCUCACCUUCUUCCCCCCCCCCCCCCCUCCCCCCUACUCCUUGAAUUAUGACCUUCCAAAUCCCCCGCUUGUCACGUGAGCAAGACACGGUGUUGUUGCGCGUGACCUUACACGACCUAGGGUGACCUGGCCUGGAACCCGCCCCCUGGAUUCACCGCCCGCAAGAACCAUCAGCCUCGCGCCCACAUCCCGCCCGGGCACACCCAUCGUAACACCUCGGAGCCAGAGAUCAGGUGUCACCCGCAGUACUUCCUCGACCACACGCUGCGCCAGUCGUCUAACGCUCCUCGAGGCGCCAACGGAGGAAAAGGAAGAGGAAGAGGAAC